GUUAACUUAGUGGCGAACGGGUGAGUAACGCGUGAACAACCUGACCCAAAGAGGGGGAUAACAUUUUGGAAACAGAUGCUAAUACCGCAUAAGACCACAACGUCACGAUGGCGAAGGGGGUCAAAGGAGCAAUCCGCUUUUGGGAGGGGUUCGCGUCCCAUUAGGUAGUAGGCGGGGUAACAGCCCACCUAGCCAACGAUGGGUAGCCGAGCUGAGAGGCUGAUCGGCCACACUGGAACUGAGACACGGUCCAGACUCCUACGGGAGGCGAGCAGUGGGGAAUAUUGGGCAAUGGGCGCAAGCCUUCGACCCAGCAACGCCGCGUGAGGGAAGAAGGUUUUCGGAUUGUAAACCUCUAGUCGCAGAAGACGAAGGAAGUGACGGUAUUCUGUGAGGAAGCCCCGGCUAACUACGUGCCAGCCGCCGC
rnacentral:rRNA from 1 species